UAGGGAAUCUUCGGCAAUGGACGAAAGUCUGACCGAGCAACGCCGCGUGAGUGAAGAAGGUUUUCGGAUCGUAAAACUCUGUUGUUAGAGAAGAACAAGGACGUUAGUAACUGAACGUCCCCUGACGGUAUCUAACCAGAAAGCCACGGCUAACUACGUGCCAGCAGCCGCGGUAAUACGUAGGUGGCAAGCGUUGUCCGGAUUUAUUGGGCGUAAAGCGAGCGCAGGCGGUUUCUUGAGUCUGAUGUGAAAGCCCCCGGCUCAACCGGGGAGGGUCAUUGGAAACUGGGAGACUUGAGUGCAGAAGAGGAGAGUGGAAUUCCAUGUGUAGCGGUGAAAUGCGUAGAUAUAUGGAGGAACACCAGUGGCGAAGGCGGCUCUCUGGUCUGUAACUGACGCUGAGGCUCGAAAGCGUGGGAGCAAACAGG
rnacentral:rRNA from 1 species